GGGGGGAUAUGAUAGAAACAUUUAAAUACAUAAAGGGAAUCAACACAAUAAAGGAGGAGACCAUAUUUAAAAGAAGAAAAACUACCACAACAAGAGGACAUAGACUUAAAUUAGAGGGGCAAAGGUUUAAAAAAAAAUAUCAGGAAGUAUUACUUUACUGAGAGGGUAGUGGAUGCAUGGAAUAGCCUUCCAGCUGAAGUGGUAGAGGUUAAC